rnacentral:misc_RNA from 1 species
GGGACGAGCAGCAUUAAAACUUUUUGAUGACAUGAACAGGAAUAAUAUUAAACCAGACCAUGUAACAAUGGUGUCAGUUCUAUCAGCUUGUAGCCAUUCCGGCCUAGUAACUGAAGGAAAAAUGUUGUUUCAAAAGAUGUGUAGUGCAUAUGGCAUAGUUCCACGUUUGCAGCACUUUGCCUGCAUGGUUGACCUCUAUGGGAGGGCUGGAUUAUUACAUAAAGCUAAGGAGAUGAUC